UUUAAGCCCCAAUGGACCCGAGGGCAGGUCAGCUUCGUGCCAGGGGACUUUUUCCAAGACACCCUCCCGGAGGCUGACCUGUACAUUCUGUCCAAAACUCUGCACAACUGGCCCGACGACAAGGUGCACCAGCUGCUGAGCCGCAUCUCCCGCAGCUGCAAGCCAGGUGGCGGCCUCCUGGUGGUGGAACAGCUGCUGGACGAGGACAAGUGCAGGCCCCUGCCCGCCUUGCUGACAUCACUGAACAU